rnacentral:rRNA from 1 species
AUUGAACGCUGGCGGCAGGCCUAACACAUGCAAGUCGAACGAGUGGCGGACGGGUGAGUAAUGUCUGGGAAACUGCCUGAUGGAGGGGGAUAACUACUGGAAACGGUAGCUAAUCCCGCAUACCAUCGGAUGUGCCCAGAUGGUAUUAGCUAGGUGGUGGGGUAAAGGCUCACCAAGGCGACGAUCCCUAGCUGGUCUGCGAGGAUGACCAGCCACACUGGAACUGAGACACGGUCCAGACUCCUACGGGAGGCAGCAGUGGGGAAUAUUGCACAAUGGGCGAAAGCCUGAUGCAGCCAUGCCGCGUGUAUGAAGAAGGCCUUCGGGGUGUAAAGUACUUUCAGCGGGGAGGCGUUACCCGCAGAAGAAGCACCGGCUAACUCCGUGCCAGCAGCCGCGGUAAUUC